GAUGGACGCUAGCUACAGGCUUAACACAUGCAAGUCGAGGGGAAACGAUAUUGGAAGCUUGCUUCCGAUAGGCGUCGACCGGCGCACGGGUGAGUAACGCGUAUCCAACCUGCCCAUCACUUGGGGAUAACCUUGCGAAAGUAAGACUAAUACCCAAUGACGUCUCUAGAAGACAUCUGAAAGAGAUUAAAGAUUUAUCGGUGAUGGAUGGGGAUGCGUCUGAUUAGCUUGUUGGCGGGGUAACGGCCCACCAAGGCGACGAUCAGUAGGGGUUCUGAGAGGAAGGUCCCCCACAUUGGAACUGAGACACGGUCCAAACUCCUACGGGAGGCAGCAGUGAGGAAUAUUGGUCAAUGGACGAGAGUCUGAACCAGCCAAGUAGCGUGCAGGAAGACGGCCCUAUGGGUUGUAAACUGCUUUUAUACUAGGGUAAACUCACCUACGUGUAGGUGACUGAAAGUAUAGUACGAAUAAGGAUCGGCUAACUCCGUGCCAGCAGCCG
rnacentral:rRNA from 1 species